CCGAAGUACAGGCCCUCUCGUAGGGCUAAACUUCCACCCUUUGUUAACUAUACUUUGUUGCUUUGGCGAGACGCCCUCGGGCCACCGGCUUCGGCUGGUGAGCGCUCGCCAGAGAAAACCCAAACCCAAACCAUUAUUAGUGUCGUCUGAGAAAUAAGUUUAAUUAUUA
rnacentral:misc_RNA from 1 species